rnacentral:rRNA from 1 species
UACAGAGGGGGCAAGCGUUGUUCGGAAUUACUGGGCGUAAAGGGCGCGUAGGCGGCCUUCUAAGUCGAACGUGAAAUCCCUGGGCUCAACCCAGGAACUGCGUCCGAUACUGGAAGGCUUGAAUCCGGGAGAGGGAUGCGGAAUUCCAGGUGUAGCGGUGAAAUGCGUAGAUAUCUGGAGGAACACCGGUGGCGAAGGCGGCAUCCUGGACCGGCAUUGACGCUGAGGUGCGAAAGCCAGGGGAGCAAGCGGG